ACGGGGGAGCAGCAGGCGCGAAAACUUCGCAAUGCAUGAAAGUGUGACGAGGGAAUCCUGAGUGGCAUCGCAAAUGCGGUGUCUUUUGUGUACUGUAAAUAGGUAUAUGAAUAAGAGGUGGGUAAGACGGUUGCCAGCCGCCGCGGUAAUAACCGCGCCUCGAGUGGUAGUCACGUUUAUUGGGCCUAAAGCGUCCGUAGCCGGUUUGAUAAGUUUCUGGUGAAAUUCACUAGUAGACUAGUGAAAUUGCUGGAAAUACUAUCAGGCUUGAGACCGGGAGAAGUUGGGAGUAUUCCACGGGUAAGAGUAAAAUCUUUUAAUCCGUGGAGGACUACCUGUGGCGAAGGCGCCCAACUGGAACGGGUCUGACGAUGAGGGACGAAAGCGUGGGGAGCGACCGGGAUUAGAUACCCCGUUAGUCCACGCUGUAAACGAUGCCCUCUUGGUGUCGCACAAUCUUCGAGAUUCUGCGGUGCCGAAGCGAAGGUGUUAAGAGGGCCGCCUGGGGAGUACGACCGCAAGGUUGAAACUUAAAGGAAUUGGCGGGGGAGCAC
rnacentral:rRNA from 1 species